UUUUUAUGUGAUGUGCUAUCCUGGAGGGGUCUUCAUGAAAUUUUAAACUCUUUUGCCCUUACAGAUAAUCAGAAAAAGUCUCCUGAGAUCUACACAGCUCAUGUAGAGGGACGUGGAGCUACAGCUAUGAAAAUUAAAUGGCCAAAGAAAUCAAAACAACCAGAUACGAUUCCUCCAACCAUAACAAAUUGCCCAUGGGACAUUACCAUAACCACCGAGACUGAUCCAGUACAGGUCAGCUGGGAACAACCUGAAAUUAGCGACAACAGUGGGGUGUUUACCUCAGUAGCUUCAAUAUCCAGUGGCUCCUGUUUCCGGUAUGGAACUCAUCAAGUGCAAUACACCGCCCAUGAUGAAGCAGGAAAUGAAGCCUCCUGCCAGUUUAAAGUUACCAUCCAAAAGCCAGAUCUUUCGUGCAACGCCCAACCUCCCACUGAUGGGUCUUUGGCUUGUGGAAUGUUAUCUUAUCCUGGCAGUGGAAUGAACAAAUGGCAGUUUUGUGUACCAUUCUGCAUGAAGAGCACUGGUUUCCAUCGGAGAGCAUGGUCAGUGUUUUUCUGCCAGUCUUCUCAGUCUGGGACAAGUUGGUUUCAUUUGGAUGAAGCCUGGCAAAUGACAAAAGCUCACAUGCCAGAGACUUGCACAGUCAGGCGUCGAACAGGGUCCAGAAAAGGAGAUUCACUACAGUACUAUGAGGGUGACUGCAAUGAACAGGCCGUGAAAAAACACAUCCUAGCAACUGUGGAACACAUUGUAGCCAAAGAUCCCUCUGUUGUUUCUCAGUGCACCAGGCACCGAAACACCUGUGGCAAUUUCAGAAUUUCAGAUCUUUCUGUUCACUGUGGGCCUGGAAACAACCAAAGAGAUACUGGACCACCUGUAGUGAUCUCCUGUCCUCAGAACAUUGAGAUAGAAACCAAAAAAGGAAACCUCUACUGGAAUGACUUGCCUGAAUUCUCUUGGAAGGAGCCUGUGUUUGAAGACAACUCCAGGGGUCCACUGACAAUCACAAAAGGAGGGUCCAAUGUUAAUAAUGGAGACAAACUGGCAUAUGGCCAAUAUUCAGUGGAAUAUAUAGCAACAGAUCUUUCAGGAAACCAAGCCAAAUGUUCCUUUGAGAUCUCUGUGAAAUGUAUGUGUUUGGCUUAUACUCAAGGUCACUGUUGGAAUAUAAUGAAGUAUUAAUGCUAAUUGUCCUGUGGCAUUUGUUGUUUGAUGAUUAAUACCAUGUGGGGGUAGGAUAUAAACUCUCACAUUUUGUCUACAUCUACAGGCCAUUUAUAUGCAAGGGUGAAAACAUGUAUCCCCAAAUGUCCCCUCUUCCCCCCCCAGCUCUUACAGCUUUGCUCUCUGUCCUCAUAUAGCACAGUAUCUUUUCACUGAAGCCUAUGUGUCAGCUCUGUGUAAAGAAUUGCUUCCUUCAAUGGCUCCAGGUACAGAUCCUAACACAAGUUAUAGGAUUCAAACAAACCUGUUACAAUGAAAUAUGAGCCUGAGAUGCACAGUUUGACUCCAGAUUGGAAGUUGGGGCAGAGACAAGGCUUGAGGGGAAAGAUCUGAUAUUCUGAUUCAGGCUCCUCUCUGUUAAAAGAAAUCAUCUCCUGUAACCAGCAUGUUUUCAGAAGUGGUCACUCACUCACCUUUUGUGCCACAGUUGUGUGGGGUAUCCCACUUGAGACACCUGGUGCUUGAUUUUCAGGGCUACUAAGAACCCACUUUCCACAGGGCACCCCAGGAGUGAGUCACACCAAUUCACUGAACGCUUCUGAAAAUUGUAGCUGUGUUCCUCCUGAUGAUUCCCUGUUCUGUUCAUUCCCUCUGGGGCACCUGGCAUUGGCCACUGUUGGAAGACAGGAUACUGGGCUAGAUGGACCUUUGGUCUGACCCAGUAGGGCCGUUCUUAUGUUCUUAUGUCCCAAAUACUAUCUCCAGCUAUAAUGCUAUAAUGAAUUGCUGAAGACUAUCUGAGUCUUACGCCCAUCCAAGGGUUCAAUCCCAAACUUUCCCUAUGUUACACAAAUAGGCACAUAAGAAUCAGUUUCCCUUUACAUGCAGUAGGAGGCUAUUCACAUCAUCCUGAAGAUUUACUCAACAGUGACAUUAUUAUCAUGUAUAUGAAUUUAUAGUAAUAUUUUAAGAAUUUCUGUCUAAGAUUUUGCGUAAUUUGCUUUUUACUAAAUGUAAGUAGUAUCACUCAUUAUUAACUCAGUUUUUAUUGUUGUCUUUUUUAUGUAUACACAAAGCAAUUGCAUGCACAAUGGAAUUGCCGGAGCAUGGAGCUAUAGUCUGUGGCUAUCCUUCGGUGGACGGCAUGGACCUCAUGACCAUUGACUGUAUUGUACUGUGUCAAAGCAAAUACCAGUUUAGCAGGGAUCCAUAUCCAAUAUAUGCAUGCUCAGAGGAGGGACUUUGGUGGACCUUCACAAGCACAUUCACGCCUAUUGGCCCAAAUUUGCCAAGUUUAAACCAUAAGUGCCAAGGUAAGAAAGUUUAAAUGAAUGAAAAACUUUGUACCUAAUUAAAAAUUCUUAUUUGCAUGUUAUAUUUUCACCACUUUGAUGAGCCUGAUGGCAUGUAAAUUAUAUUUCAAGGAUUCAUUAAAAGUAAUUUUCCUUUUUUCUAUAAACAACACUUGUCAGAUUUCUCAAAUCAGCACUGAAUUAAACUGAGGUGGGUUGAGUUCAGCUGCUUGAUUUACUUUAUUACAGAUUUAAAAUCUGCUGAGGGAGUAUAGAUAUUUCACAUUAAUUAUGUUGAUGAAGAUCUGUGUUCUGAUUACCAACCCUGAGUCUUUAUACAGAAAAUGGAGACAUAUCAAUGAGAUACCAUACCACUCUCUAACCGGUGAGGGAUUACAGGAAUAAAGCACCAUUGCUUUAUUAACUGAUGACUUUU
rnacentral:lncRNA from 1 species